rnacentral:tRNA from 1 species
GGGGAAUUAGCUCAAAUGGUAGAGGCUCGCUUAGCUUGCGAGAGGCACGAGGAUCGAUGCCCCGAUUCUCCA